UGAAGGAAGGCUUGGGGCCACCUUCUUCUAUGUCAAAGUGUAAUUUUUUUUUUUUUAAGGAGAAACUAGCUAUUUAGAAUUAAUCUAGCUAUCUAUUUACAAUUAAUCUCUUUAGUAGCAUUUUAUUGUUAGUAUUUAGGAUUUGCUUAUGUAGAAUUUAUCUAUUAGUAUCUACAAUCUCCUAAUAGUUAGAACUUAGCUAUUUUGAAUUAUCUAUAGAAUCUCUCUAUUUUGGAUUUAUUUAUUUAUAGAAUUAGUAUCUAGAUAGUUUUUUACCAUACUUAACUGAGAUUACUUUAUAAAAAUAGAUGAUGGCUCUCAAGGGUCAUUAAGAACCAGAUGUAACUGGGCUCAGCUAACGAGGGGCUCUCCAGAACUCAGGCUGUUUCUACUCCUCUAAUGAACAGGCAGCUGCUAUUCUCAGAGCUGGCAGCUGACUGCUGUUAGGAAAGAAGGUGCUGGCAGCCUAGGUUGGCAAUUGGUGACUGAAUUGUCAGGGGCUCAGUGGAAAAGAAAAGCAACAGGGGUGCAUACCCAGAAAAACCCAGCAGCUGACCCCUGGUGAUUGAUGACUUUUGGAUGGGAGAAAGCGACUGACAUCCAGCAACUGGUCAAGAUAAGAGCUGUAUGAUGACUGUGCCCCAGAAGAAGCAGUUGCUGCAGAUCGACUGCUGCAUGGUGCUGUGACUGCAAGAAGGCCUGUUAGACUUCAUGCCCUAGCUUUUAUUUUACACACCCUCCAUGACAAUACAAAUGACUCUCUUGCCCAGUUUUAUCUGGCCUUCUCUCCCUGCGCAGUGGUUAGGAAAGGAAGGCAGGGAGAAUAACUGCGAGGUGCUCCUGCCUCUCAGCUGUGCUUAGCCUGAUUUCGGCGCUGAGCACCGGGCAGGCAGCAGAGGCCGUGGCUGCUGCUGUGGGCCCAGUGCAGCAGGAGCAGUCCGGCUGAACCGCAGCGGGGCAGCGGCCGGGUAAAGCCACCACUGAGGGCCAGGAUUCCCCGAAGGGACGGGUUCCUUCCAAAGCAGCGGCCACCGCCUCAGACACGGCUCCUGCCAGCGCCACCUGCUGCUCCGAGCCGUCUGCUGCAGCUCAACCAGCCCGACCUUCCGCCGUGAAAACCAAUUACUCUCUGACAAACGCACCAAAACACGGCAAUAAAAGCUAAGUCUGCUUCUCUUGUAGUAUUUUGCCUUAAGCUCUCUCCAGUAAUAACCCUUGGAGGAGCUGAGUAGUACACUGUAGUUCACUUGCACAAAUACACUUGUGUAUGCACACAUGGAGAGAAGAUUGGUGGCUGACGGCUUGAACUAGCCAACACAGAAAAGAAUAUGCAUUUUGCAUGUAUGAAGUAAUUCAUGCCAGUGAAAAUAAAAGGUAAAAGGCAA